UACGGGGGGGGCAAGCGUUGUUCGGAAUUACUGGGCGUAAAGGGCGCGUAGGCGGCCUUCUAAGUCGGACGUGAAAUCCCUCGGCUUAACCGAGGAACUGCGUCCGAUACUGAAAAGGCUUGAAUCCGGGGAGAGGGAUGUGGAAUUCCAGGUGUAGCGGUGAAAUGCGUAGAUAUCUGGAGGAACACCCGGUGGCGAAAGGGCGGCAUCCUGGACCCGGCAUUUGACGCUGAGGCGCGAAAAGCUAGGGGGAGCAAACGGG
rnacentral:rRNA from 1 species